rnacentral:rRNA from 1 species
CCUACGGGUGGCAGCAGUGAGGAAUAUUGGUCAAUGGACGAGAGUCUGAACCAGCCAAGUAGCGUGAAGGAUGACUGCCCUAUGGGUUGUAAACUUCUUUUAUAUGGGAAUAAAAUGUUCCACGUGUGGGAUUUUGUAUGUACCAUAUGAAUAAGGAUCGGCUAACUCCGUGCCAGCAGCCGCGGUAAUACGGAGGAUCCGAGCGUUAUCCGGAUUUAUUGGGUUUAAAGGGAGCGUAGGUGGAUUGUUAAGUCAGUUGUGAAAGUUUGCGGCUCAACCGUAAAAUUGCAGUUGAAACUGGCAGUCUUGAGUACAGUAGAGGUGGGCGGAAUUCGAGGUGUAGCGGUGAAAUGCUUAGAUAUCACGAAGAACUCCGAUUGCGAAGGCAGUUCACUGGACUGCAACUGACACUGAGGCUCGAAAGUGUGGGUAUCAAACAGGAUUAGAUACCCGUGUAGUC